CCUACGGGUGGCAGCAGUGGGGAAUAUUGCACAAUGGGGGAAACCCUGAUGCAGCGACGCCGCGUGAGUGAAGAAGUAAUUCGUUACGUAAAGCUCUAUCAGCAGGGAAGAAAUACUGACCUUACGGUCAGCAGACGGUACCUGAGUAAGAAGCCCCGGCUAACUACGUGCCAGCAGCCGCGGUAAUACGUAGGGGGCAAGCGUUAUCCGGAUUUACUGGGUGUAAAGGGAGCGUAGACGGUGCGCCAAGUCUGGAGUGAAAUGCCGCAGCUUAACGGCGGAACUGCUUUGGAAACUGGCGAACUAGAGUGCGGGAGGGGUAAGCGGAAUUCCUGGUGUAGGGGUGAAAUGCGGAGAUAUUAGGAGGAACAGCGGUGGCGAAGGCGGCUUACUGGACCGUAACUGACGUUGAGGCUCGAAAGCGUGGGGAGCAAACAGGAUUAGAUACCCCUGUAGUC
rnacentral:rRNA from 1 species